GAACGUACGCUGGCGGCACGCCUAACACAUGCAAGUCGAACGAAGUAGCAAUACUUAGUGGCAGACGGGUGAGUAACAUGUAGGUAUCUGCCCUUUGGCCUGGAAUAACACGAGGAAACUUGUGCUAAUACCGGAUAAGUCUUUACGGAGAAAGCUUUAUGCACCAUUGGAUGAGCCUGCACUUGAUUAGUUUGUUGGUGGGGUAAUGGCCUACCAAGACUGUGAUCAAUAGCUGAUUUGAGAGGAUGAUCAGCCACAUUGGGACUGAGACACGGCCCAAACUCCUACGGGAGGCAGCAGUGGGGAAUCUUGCACAAUGGAGGAAACUCUGAUGCAGCGAUGCCGCGUGAGUGAAGAAGGCCUUUGGGUUGUAAAGCUCUUUCGUCGGGGAAGAAAAUGACUGUACCCGAAUAAGAAGGUCCGGCUAACUUCGUGCCAGCAGCCGCGGUAAUACGAAGGGACCUAGCGUAGUUCGGAAUUACUGGGCUUAAAGAGUUCGUAGGUGGUUGAAAAAGUUGGUGGUGAAAUCCCAGAGCUUAACUCUGGAACUGCCAUCAAAACUUUUCAGCUAGAGUAUGAUAGAGGAAAGCAGAAUUUCUAGUGUAGAGGUGAAAUUCGUAGAUAUUAGAAAGAAUACCAAUUGCGAAGGCAGCUUUCUGGAUCAUUACUGACACUGAGGAACGAAAGCAUGGGUAGCGAAGAGGAUUAGAUACCCUCGUAGUCCAUGCCGUAAACGAUGUGUGUUAGACGUUGGAAAUUUAUUUUCAGUGUCGCAGCGAAAGCGAUAAACACACCGCCUGGGGAGUACGACCGCAAGGUUAAAACUCAAAUGAAUUGACGGGGACCCGCACAAGUAGUGGAGCAUGUGGUUUAAUUCGAAGAUACGCGCAGAACCUUACCAACACUUGACAUGUUCGUCGCGACUUUAAGAGAUUAAAGUUUUCGGUUCGGCCGGACGAAACACAGGUGCUGCAUGGCCGUCGUCAGCUCGUGUCGUGAGAUGUUGGGUUAAGUCCCGCAACGAGCGCAACCCUCACUUUUAGUUGCCAUCAUUAAGUUGGGCACUCUGAAAGAACUGCCAGUGAUAAGCUGGAGGAAGGUGGGGAUGACGUCAAGUCCUCAUGGCCCUUACGUGUUGGGCUACACACGUGCUACAAUGGUAUCUACAACAGGAAGCAAAACCGCGAGGUUUAGCAAAUCCUUAAAAGAUACCUCAGUUCGGAUUGCACUCUGCAACUCGAGUGCAUGGAGCUGGAAUUACUAGUAAUCGUGGAUCAGCGUGCCACGGUGAAUGCGUUCCCGGGUCUUGUACACACCGCCCGUCACACCAUGGGAGUUGGUUCUACCUUAAGGCAAGGUUUUAAACCCUUGACCACGGUAUAGUCAGCGACUGGGGU
rnacentral:rRNA from 1 species